rnacentral:snoRNA from 1 species
AAUCCGUGUUGUGGGCAUUAGCGAAGUAAACCCUUGUAUCGUUCCUAAGCCUCUGAAUAGCUUUCUGGGACCAUUUGCUGAAAAGUAGUGAUUUUGUCCCUUAGAUU